rnacentral:rRNA from 1 species
GACGAACGCUGGCGGCGUGCUUAACACAUGCAAGUGGAGCGACGAACCAGAGCUUGCUCUGGGGCAGAGCCGCGAACGGGUGAGUAACACGUGGGUCACCUACCUCGAUGACCGGGACAACCCGAGGAAACUCGGGCUAAUACCGGAUGUGCACUUAGGUGGAAAGGUAGCUUCGGCUUCCGCAUCGAGAUGGGGCCCGCGGCGCAUUAGCUUGUUGGUGAGGUAACGGCUUACCAAGGCGACGAUGCGUAGCUGGUCUGAGAGGACGAUCAGCCACACUGGGACUGAGACACGGCCCAGACUCCUACGGGAGGCUG